rnacentral:rRNA from 1 species
ACACGUCUACUAUUAGACUUACCCGUGUACGUCCCAGACCGUAAACUAUGCGCGUUAGGUGUAUCGGUGACCACGAGUUACCGAGGUGCCGAAGGGAACCGUGAAACGUGCCGCCUGGGAAGUACGGUCGCAAGGCUGAAACUUAAAGGAAUUGGCGGGGGAGCACAACAACGGGUGGAGCCUGCGGUUUAAUUGGACUCAACGCCGGACAACUCACCGGGAACGACAGCAAUAUGUAGGCCAGGCUGAAGACCUUGCCUGAAUCGCUG